rnacentral:tRNA from 1 species
UGGGAUGUAGCUCAGUUGGUAGAGUGCUUGCCUCGUAUGCGGGAAGAUCUGUGUUCAACCCCAGCACUGCAU